UACGUAGGGGGCUAGCGUUGUCCGGAAUCAUUGGGCGUAAAGCGCGUGUAGGCGGUCCGGUAAGUCCGCUGUGAAAGUCGGGGGCUCAACCCUCGGAUGCCGGUGGAUACUGUCGGGCUUGAGUACGGAAGAGGCGAGUGGAAUUCCUGGUGUAGCGGUGAAAUGCGCAGAUAUCAGGAGGAACACCAAUUGCGAAGGCAGCUCGCUGGGACGUUACUGACGCUGAGGCACGAAGGUCAGGGGAGCAAACGGG
rnacentral:rRNA from 1 species